AACGAACGCUGGCGGCAUGCCUAACACAUGCAAGUCGAACGAGACCUUCGGGUCUAGUGGCGCACGGGUGCGUAACGCGUGGGAACCUGCCCUUAGGUUCGGAAUAACUCCCCGAAAGGGGUGCUAAUACCGGAUAAUGUCUUCGGACCAAAGAUUUAUCGCCUUUGGAUGGGCCCGCGUUGGAUUAGCUAGUUGGUAGGGUAAAAGCCUACCAAGGCGACGAUCCAUAGCUGGUCUGAGAGGAUGAUCAGCCACACUGGGACUGAGACACGGCCCAGACUCCUACGGGAAGCAGCAGUGGGGAAUAUUGGACAAUGGGCGAAAGCCUGAUCCAGCGAUGCCGCGCGAGUGAUGAAGGCCUUAGGGUUGUAAAGCUCUUUUACCCGGGAUGAUAAUGACAGUACCGGGAGAAUAAGCUCCGGCUAACUCCGUG
rnacentral:rRNA from 1 species